rnacentral:lncRNA from 1 species
ACGAAUGCCACGGUGGCCUCCUGAAGACGGAGUCCGGUCUCACAUUCCUCCAGCUUCCUGUGGGGCUCCCCCAAAAAUGGAAAUUCAAUCACAAGGCGCCUGGGCUGACGUCUCCCCUCCUAUGCAUAAAGCCCAGCGAAGGGUGAGCGCACGGCAUGGCACCUGCAGCAUGGGGUUCACGUUCUGGAAGGUUCCGGCUGACUCCCACCCUGCCCUUCACUGGCCAAGUAAACUUGCAGAAGUUACUUAACCCUUGACCUAGAAGAGCCUCCUGUCACCUGAAAAGGGAAAGUCGGGAUUGUAAGGAAAGGAAUCUCAUAGGGCUUCUCUGAGGAGACAAGUCAUUGGAUUGGGCUUAGACGUUCCAUCCGUGGCAAGAUUUCCGGCUUUGCCCUUUGGAGCCUGAGGAGCAAGGGUAGAAUGAGGAUCGUGAGGUUCUUCAGAGGCAGUUACUCACGAGGUCACAGCGCAGAAACGGCAAGAAAUGUCAGUUAUAAAAUGUCCAUGUGCAUUUUAAAUGAAUGGUUAUUAAAAUCCUUCUUUUUCCAUAAGGGAUCUAAAAAAUUAAACAAUUUGUAACUCAAACACACUUGUCAGGUAGCCUGAGUCAAAACCAGGAGAGGCUCCAUGGUCUG